UACGAAGGGGGCUAGCGUUGUUCGGAAUUACUGGGCGUAAAGCGCGCGCAGGCGGUUCUUCAAGUCAGUGGUGAAAGCCCGGAGCUCAACUCCGGAACUGCCAUUGAAACUGUAGAGCUUGAGGAUGAGAGAGGUGAGUGGAAUUCCCAGUGUAGAGGUGAAAUUCGUAGAUAUUGGGAAGAACACCGGUGGCGAAGGCGGCUCACUGGCUCAUUUCUGACGCUCAGGCGCGACAGCGUGGGGAUCAAACAGG
rnacentral:rRNA from 1 species